UAGCGAAUUUUGGACAAUGGGCGAAAGCCUGAUCCAGCAACGCCGCGUGUGCGAUGAAGGCCUUCGGGUUGUAAAGCACUUUUAGGGGAGAUGAGAAUGGACAGUACCCCCUGAAUAAGCCUCGGCCAACUACGUGCCAGCAGCCGCGGUAAAACGUAGGAGGCGAGCGUUAUCCGGAUUUAUUGGGCGUAAAGCGCGUGCAGGCGGUUCUGUAAGUUGGGUAUGAAGUCUCCUGGCUUAACUGGGAGAGGCUACACAAAACUGCAGAGCUUGAGAAUGGGAGAGGGAGGUGGAAUUCCGAGUGUA
rnacentral:rRNA from 1 species